UACGUAGGGUGCGAGCGUUGUCCGGAAUUAUUGGGCGUAAAGAGCUUGUAGGCGGUCUGUCACGUCUGCUGUGAAAAUCCGGGGCUCAACCCCGGACUUGCAGUGGGUACGGGCAGACUAGAGUGCGGUAGGGGAGACUGGAAUUCCUGGUGUAGCGGUGAAAUGCGCAGAUAUCAGGAGGAACACCGGUGGCGAAGGCGGGUCUCUGGGCCGUAACUGACGCUGAGGAGCGAAAGCAUGGGGAGCGAACAGG
rnacentral:rRNA from 1 species